rnacentral:lncRNA from 1 species
AGACAUCCCAUACACAAGAAUUACUUCUGGUCUGAGUAGUGGUUAUUUCCCACUUCUCCAGACUCUUUCAAGUCUCUUAUAGCAACCACAGCAAAUAGUGUCAUGCCCCUGUGGGAGGACGAGAGGGCAAGAGAGGGCUGUGAAGGAAAACCCUUGAGAAUGUUCACAGCAUAAAGGUCUUUUGUCCUGAAACAAAUCGAAACAGAUUCAUUUCUAAACCUCUUAUGUAAAUACAUCGAUGUUCACCACCUUGAUCUGAACCACGGUGUAUUGAUAAGGGUAAGCCCUUAAUCGAUGACUCUUUAGAUACAUAAUUGAUUCUACUACCUUAGUAUAACUGAUCACAUAGAAAGGCUUUUGAGUACUGAAUGCUUUUUCUUCUUGAGAGAAACUGCCAGCUCAUGCAAUGACUUUGUAUAAGCUGGGGGAAAGGCACCAUUCCCAAGACACUUCCCACACAUCACAAAUUCUAAAAAUGAGCUUUGGGGAAAUCCUUCCCUGCAUCUGCAAUGUAACAAUGCCUGCUCUAGUGUUUUCUUGUCCAUCUGUCACACUCCAGUUCUCUGAGGAACCAGAUCUUUGUCCCUCCAACAUGGCCGUGGAGCCAAUGUUAAGCAGAUUUACCCUACUAGGCCUGGUCUGUCUCUAUGUCUCCUGAAGAGGCUUAAUGUUAUAGAUAGAUAGAUAGAUAGAUAGAUAGAUAGAUAGAUAGAUAAAAUACCCUGGGAAUUCAGAAUAGACAGGAAAUCCAGAGCCCUCAAUAGACACAAUCCCCACCACCACCUCUGCCGCUUGACUUUCUAAAGAGCUCUGCAGAAGAUAACUCCUUACCAAGCUCACCAACCAAUGGCUGCCGAACAAAAUGAGGGACAAAGACAUUCUUCCCAGCCCUGAGGAAUACGAGUAGUGAAUAUUCUUUUUCUACAGGCUGGUUGUAGUCUUAGGUCUCCACAGGCUACUGACUGGUGGAUCACUGUCUGCCUGUAAACAUUCUGCUACAGUCCAUCCGCUGCCUGUAGCCGCUGGGGAAGCCCUUCUCUUUAUGCUCAGUGUGAGCUGUCCAUUUAGUGUCUCCUCUCCAGAGCAAAUGCCCUCUGCGCUAACAAGGACAAGGGCUACUUAGGAGUUAAGCACACUACCACAAACCUCCUUGAAUAUCCUAGUGAACGUUUCCCCAGCUUGUUCAUUAAUAACAAGAGUUUUCUGUUUCUCAACAAUUGCACCAAGAGCCAUCUGAAGAGGAGGCAGCCAUUUAAGAACUCUGUACUGCCAAAGCAGUCUUCUGGCUUCUAGAAUGAGCCCUCUUUGUAUUUUCCUUGCUAUUGGUAGUUCAAACCUUUAUCCCAUCAGUAAAGGAAGAAAUAUUUUGUUUUGUUUUCCUUUUUACAAGUGAACUUUUCUCCAGUCACCUUCCACACUGAGGAUAAAGUACUAAAUUUACAAAUGCUAAAACCCAAGUUCUCACUCUUCUGGGCCAACACAACAGAGACAGAUCCGAUGUGUAUACAG